UAUCUAUUUAUGAAAAAGUUAGAAACCUAAGGUUAGUUUUUCCCUAUAAAUAAAGGGGUUUUCCUUCAUUGUAAUUCACCAAUCAAGAAAUCCCUCAAGAGAAAUAAGAAUUACUAUCUAUUCUCUUUCUACUCUUAUUCUUUAUUCUGUAUUAUUUUAUAACAAAUAAAGCUUUAUGAUUUCCUAUAAAGCAAGGAUCUCCAAAUAAAGAAAAUUUCAAGAGAGAACAUAAUGUCCCAAAAAUGCUAUGCAUGAAAAGCUCUUUUUUCUCUUUAGUAUUAUAUGUGUUUUUAUUUAUAUGUUUCUCGAUUGAUAACUUUGUUUACUCUUUAUUGGUUACUAAGUUAAGAAUCUUUGUAAGUAUGUAGGGGUGAUUUGAAAUUGGAACGGCGAUAUGUUGAUUUAAAGAUUGAGUUAGAAAGAGAUGCUAGCUAGCUCAGCCCUAAAUGAGUUAGUGGGACUGAAUAUGAUAGUGGUAUGUAUGAAUCUAUUAAUGGUGAGAGGUGGAGGUACCUCGUGAAUUUAGUUGAGGUGCACGAAAGAUGUACAAACAACACAGUUAUAAAAAGAAAGAAAAAAAGGGCUAUUGACAUAGCAUUCUCACAUCGUGGCAUUGAAUAAUAUGAUACAACUACAUUUGAUGAGAUGUAACUUUGAAAAAGUUCACAUUAGAAUGAUCUAGAAACAAAGAAUCAGUACUAAUGGCAUAAAUAUACAAAUUUACAUAGAGAAUAGACAUUAGACAUUCAAUGUGGCAUGAUUUUAGGCCAAAAUUUAACAAGAAAUAAUUUAUGAUCUCAAUUGAUAGGGAUCGAACCUACACCGGUAGAAUACUAGAAAUCAAUUAAAAGUAUGACAUGACCAACCUAGGGACAUGACUCUAGUAGAAGCGUCAAUCCAAUUUUCAGUUGGCAAUGUACAUAAUAUGUAAAUAAAGAGAAAGAGAUAAAAUAGUCCCACUCUUCCAUUUCAAUAACCUCUCUUACUUCUCCCCCACCCCACCUAAGAAUGUAACAUAUGGAAAAAGAAACGGCAUCCCAUUGAUGAUUGAUGAUGUUUCAAGUGCUCAGCCCAAUGCAAAUACUAUAGAGUUUUUAAGAUCCAUGUGUCGAGGAUUCAUAUUUUCAGCUAUCUAUACUGGCUAUUGUGGAAUAUGAGAAAUAUAGCAUAAAUCAAAUAGACUUUUGAAGAUAGCAUGAUAUAUAAACGGACAACAUGAUAUAUAAAUCAUAUCACAUUUACUCCCCAAGGGUGUAUAAUGUAGAAUAUCUACCUGACACGAGAUACACAAGCAUUAGUGAUUAUGACAACAUUUGGGUAAAACAAGAAACAGACAACAAUUAACAGUUUAAAUAUCUAAAGGUGAUUAUUUGUGAACAUAGAAAAUAGUUGUGGCAGAGUAGAAUAUCGAUCACUAUUUUUCUAAUAAACGAAAUAAAUCAUUUUCAAUACGAUUAACAUUUUCUCCAUGAGGAUUAGAUCUAACCCCAAAAAAAAGAUGACAUGAGAACCUAAAUUUAUACCAAUAAAAGUCCACAUAACUUUUUACCCGUCAUUAAAAGAUUUUAUGAUAAAUAAAAUUAUCAUGUGUUAUUUUCCUAGAAUAAUUAUCAUUUAAUUAUUAUUCUAAUAUUUAGGACUUUAAAAUUAAUUAAAACUAUAACUAUUAAAUAUAAACUUAUUUUCAAGUGGUAAGAACUCUUAAUAUUUAGAACUUAAAGUUGGCUAAAAUUUUACUUCUUAGAUUUUGUAAGAUCCCGCAAAAUUUCAUAAUUUAUUUUUUAUCCUCCCGCGUGCGUAAUGUCAACUUCUAACUUGAAUUAUGAUUAAAAAUAUUAAAAGAGUGUUUUGAGAAAGUUUAAGAAUUAUUGAAAGGGGUUCAGGACCAUUUUGGGACUCCGAAGUAGUAAGCCUCUGUAAUAGUGGUGUGCCACCCCACUUAGCUUUCGCGAUAAGGGCGUGACACAGAGGCAAAGCUCCACAAUAGUGGUGUGCCACUCCGCUAUGUUAAAUUGUCUAUUUUUGUUUAUUUUUCACUUGGGGUGAGGGGUUCUUGGUCCUUUUACCUCUUGCACGACUUUGAAACACUCCAUUGACCUUUUUCCUUAAGUCAUCAAAGAUCAAACACCAUCCUUUUUCUCUUUAACUCUAACCCCAAGAAAGUUCAAGGGUGUUAUAGAGAAUUCAUCAUUCGGGCUUCCAACUUUGAUUUCUCUUCAAAUUCUUUGGUAUUUCAGGCAUGUUUCUCAUCCUUAGCUAGAAUUCUACAUUAUGACCUAUAUUUAAUCAUUAUUCAUGUGAUUUUAAUUUUUGGGUUUUGAAAUUGGAUUGAGGGAUUUUGAUGGUUAUUACUUGGAUUGUAUUUUUCAUGAUUUAAAUAUGUUGUUUAUACUUUAAUUGAUGAUUUUGGGGUUGAAAGGGUGCAUUGUUAUGAGAACUGGAAUGAAAAAUAUGGGUUUCCCCAAAAUUGAUGAAAAUUUGGCUUGAUAGUGGCAUUAACCUUAACCUACAUUGAAAUCUUGGUUUCUAAUAUAGAACUUGCAUGAUUUUACUUACUUUUGGAACAUUGCAUUAAAGGAUAAUAGAUACUAAAAAUGAUUUUGGAAUGCCCUUGGUUGCAACGGUUUAGAUUUUUAAAUAGAACUUGGAAGUCUAAUAGUUAUAUGAAUUUGGUUGGGCAUAACUGAAUUAACUUGCAAACAUAUUGAUAUGACGAUACCAUAUUUGGAAAUGCAUUAAAAAUGACUCCUUGGUCAAUGAUUGGAUUUAUGUGCAAACUACUUUAAUUUGAAUUUAAAGAGAAUUGUGUAGUUCACAGUGAAGGUAUAGUCUCGAGGGAACCAAUAUUGAAAAUCAUAUUUAUCGACAUGGGGUUCUAUUUGACUAUGUGCUUGAUGUACACUUUAUAUUUUUUUGAAUGGCUAUCGCCUUGGUGUCUUUAUCCUUUCCUUAGCUUUCUUAGAACAUAUAGCUAACACGCACUAGGGUCCUUCUGGCAGGGGGAAUCAGACCCAUAUAGCCCAUGGGUUCCUUUAGGACAGAACGAGUUGCAUAGUUCAGGCUAAGGAUUUAAAUUUUUAUGUUCAUGACCCUUGCCCCUAUCCUGACAUCCUAUAUUUAUUAAUAUUAUGUAGGUGGUUUGAAAUACCCCAAGUGUCGAUCUCUGAGAAAUUUUUGAAAUUUCGUACUCACUGUCCCGUCUAUGACUUACCCUAUGAGUCGUAGAAAGUCUUAACAAUUCAUAGGGAGUCUUAAAUAUUUUUUGAUAUCAGAGCUUAGGUUUCAUGUCAUUAGGUGUACACAAAGCCAUAUCAAGUAGAGUCUCUUUUAUAGGUAUGUUGCGUGCCACACUUAUAAGGGAGAGGCUAUGAGACAUUUAGGAAUGUUUCCCUUUCUUGUUGUUUUAUUUCAAGCUAUAGAGCCUAAGAUCUUGAAAUCUCCUCUAAUUCUCGUAUGUUUGAUUUUCAUAUCAUGCCUACCAGAAGAUCUAAUGUUCAUGGAAACUCUUCUGUACCGUCUAAGAAUAAUGAGGACAGAGCUCAUCAUACUCAAGGAGUUUAGACCCGUUCUAGGGUCACUGCUUCUGAUUCCCGUAGUGGAGUUUCACCAGUUCCCCUAGUCCUCAUCGGCCACCUCAGAUGGGUGUAUCUAAUGUUGAGUUUUGCCAGUCAACCCAGUUGGUGGCCUUUCAGAAUGAGUAUGUUUCUUCUAUUGCUCCAUCCUCAGAGGUCACUAGAUUUGGCCAAUUUAUGAGGUUGAGUCCUCUAACUUUUAGUGGCUCUAAAGUUGAGAAAGACCCUCAAAAUUUUAUUGAUAGAAUAGACAAAUUUUUUUGUGUAAUGCAUGUUAUUGAUGUGGAGGGGGUGGAGUUUGUUUCUUAUCAAUUGAAGGAUAUGGCAUAUCAAUGUAUGUGGAAUCAGAACAGCCUAGGGGUGCUGAUGCCGAGUUUGCUUUGUGGGAUGGCUUCUCUAGUACUUUUCUUAAUCACUUCUUUCCUCAGGAGUUGAGGGAGGAGAAGGUUGAGGAAUUCUUGAAUUUAAAGCAAGGCAGGAUGACAGUAAAGAAGCAUGCCUUGAAGUUUCAUUAGUUGUCGUGAUAUGCUCCAGAAUUAGUUUCUAGUAUAAAGGCUAAAAUGAGGAAGUUUUCUUCUGGGUUGUCUCGUAAUUUGAUCUUGGAAAGCAAGUCUGCCUUGUUGAACAAGGAUAUGGGCAUCUCCAUACUUGUGGUGUAUAUGUAAUAAGUGAAAGAGGAAAAUAAAAAUUAAGUGGAGAUAAGUGAAAGGCAGAAUAAGAAGUUUCGAUACUUAUAUCAGGGUGGAGGUCUACAGUAGAGUGGUAGAGAUCGUGGAAAAUAGUCUAAAAAGAAGUGGGGCAAUUCUGGUUCCUACAUUAUGGCUAGUGCUCCUUAUCCAAAGCUGUUGGUUGAUCGUCAUUUUAGAAUAGUAUGAGUCCAAGGGUACAGGGUUCCUAGCCUCAGACUAGUGAGGCUCAGUCAGCUCCAUCAUAUCCCCCUUGUAGAUUUGUGGUCAGGUGCAUCGUGGUAUUUGUGAAAAGGGGAGGAACAAGUGCUUUAAAUAUGGUCAGAUUGGUCACAUGAAGAGAGAUUGUCCUUCUAAGGUUGCUUCUGGGGAGAAUAAGAUUCUUGUUUCUACUUCAUCAGCUCCUACACCAAAGUGUGCUACUUUUGCUUCUGCCUUCGGUACUAGUCGAAAUCGUCUAUACGCUCUUACCACCUACCAGGAUUCUGAGGCAUCCUAUGAUAUUGUUACUAGUAUGCUCAAACUUUUCUCUUAUGAUGUAUAUUGUCUACUUGAUCCCGGGCGUACCCUGUCUUAUGUGAUCCUUUGUAUGGCUGUUCAUUUUGGUUUUGACCAUGAGUAUAUUUCGAAUCCCUUCUCUGUGUCCACCCCGAUGGGUGACUUCAUUAUGGCUAGAAGGGUCUAUAGGGGUUGUGUAAUGACGUUUUAUGGUAGGGACACCCUGGUGGAUCUGAUAGAGUUCGACCUAUUAGACUUUGAUAUGAUUUUGGGGAUGAAUUGGUUGCAUUUGUGCUAUGUGUCUCUUGAUUUUUGGACCCAAAGGGUCAGUUUUCACUUCCCUAAUGAGCCGGUGAUUGAGUGGGAAGAUAGUUUCCUAGUGCCUAAGGGAAGGUUGAUUUUGUAUCUUAGCGCCCGAAAAUUGGUAUUUAAGGGGUGCCUCUAUCACUUAGUGCAUGUUAAGGAUUCUAGAUUCAAAGGUCCUUCUUUGUAGACUAUCCAUGUGGUCUGUGAAUUCCCAGAGGUGUUCCUUGAUGGUAAUUCUGGUGUUCCUCCCUAUAGGGAAAUUGAUUUUGGGAUUCAUCUUCUUUCGAACACUCGCCCUAUUUCUAUCCCUUAUUACAAAGUGGCUUCGGCUGAGUUGAAAAAACUCAAGGAGCAGUUGAAAGAUCUUCUGGAUAAGGUUUUUAUUUGUCGUAGUGUUUCUCCUUGGGGUUCUCUGGUUCUAUUUGUGGUAAGAAGGGUGGGUCCCUUCAAAUGUGUAUAAAUUACCGAUAAUUGAAUAAGGUGACCAUAAAGAAAAGGUAUCCCCUUCCAAGAAUUGAUGAUCUCUUUGAUCAGCUUCAGGGUGUUAAGUACUUUUUUAAGAUUGAUCUUCGGUUAGGUACCAUCAGUUUAAGGUUAGGGAGUUCGAUAUCCCUAAGACUACUUUUCUAACUUGGAAUGGUCAUUUUGAGUUCUUGGUGAUGUCCUUUGUUUGACUAAUGCCUUGACAAUAUUUAUGAAACUAAUGAACUGGGUACUCUGUUAGUUCUUGGAUUUGUUCAUAAUUGUAUUUAUUGAUGAUAUUUUGGUGUAUUCUAAGAGUGAGGCGAAUCAUGCUGAUCAUCUCCGCCUUGUGUUGCAAACCUUAAAACAUCAGUGGUUGUAUGUGAAGUUCUCAAAAUAUGAGUUUUGAUUAAAUGUUAUAACUUAUCAGGGUUAUGUUGUUUAUAGUGAAAGGAUAAUGGUGGAUCUAUAGAAAGUUACGGUGGUUAAGAAGCGGCCUACACCCAUAAUUUUAAUUAACAUUUGGAGCUUCUUGGGUUUAGCCGGUUAUUAUAGAAGGUUUGCAAAAAAUUUCUCUUCUAUUGUUGCCCUAUUGACUAAGUUGACUCAAAAAAUGUAAAGUUCUUAUGGUUUGAUGCCUGUAAGGGUAGUUUUGAGAAGUUGAAGGAUAAGUUAACUUUGACUCUGGUUUUGACUCUACCUAAGGGUAUUGAUGGUUUGUUGUCUAUUGUGAUGCAUCCCGAGUGGGACAAGUUUGUGUGUUGAUGUAGCAUGACAAGGUGUUUCCAUAUUCUUCUAGACAGUUGAAGGUUCGUGAGAAGAAUUAUCUAACUUAUGAUUUCGAAUUAUUCGUGGUCAUAUUUGCAUUAAAGAUCUACGACAUUAUUUGUAUGGGGUACAUAUGGAUAUUUAUUCUGAUCAUAAGAUUCCUCAAUAUAUGUUUACUCAGAAGAAGCUAAAUCUCAGGCAAAGGAGGUGGCUUGUGUUACUAAAGGACUAUGACAUAAGUCUCCACUAUCACCUAGGUAAAGCUAACGUGGUUGUUGAUGUUCUUAGCAGGUUGUUCAUGGGGAGCUUAUCUCAUGUGGACGAGGGGGAAUGGGAUUUGGUGAAGGACAUUCAUAUUAGGCUAAUCUUAGAGUCCAUCUCUUUGAUCCCAAGAAUGGUGGUGUAAUUAUUCAAGAGGUGGCGAAGUCAUAUCUUGGUGCUGAGGUAAAGAAGAAACAAGUGUUGGACCCUAUUUUGAUGUAGAUCAAGGAGGAUAUAGGUACGUAGAAAGUAAUGGCUUUUGAGAUUCAUGGUGACGUUAUCUUGAGGUACUAAGGUAGAUUAUGUAUUCUCGAUGUUAAUGGGUUGCGAGGAAGAAUUUUGGCCAAAGCUCAUUAGUCGCAUUAUACUAUUCAUCCUAGUUCGACGAAGAUAUAUCAUGACUUAAGAGAAAUUUAUUAGUGGAAUAACUUGAAGAGGGAUAUGGCUAAUUUUAUCUCUAAGUGCAUGGUAUGCCAGCAAUUAAAGGUGGAGCACCUGAGGCUCGAUGGAUUAUUUUAAGAAUUGAGCUACUUGUGUAGAAAUGGGAAAUAAUAUGGAUUUCGUUACUGGUCUUCCACGGUCUCUCUAUAAGUUUGAUUCUAUUUGGGUCAUCGUGGAUAAGAUGACUAAGUCCACUCACUUCUUGCCAGUGAGGACUAACUAUUCAGUGAAAGAUUAUGCUAAGAUCUUCAUUGAGGAGAUUGUGAAGUUGCAUGGUGCCCUCGGUCCAUUAUAUCUUAUCAAGGUACUCAAUUCUCAUCUUACUUUUGGCGUUUCUUUUAGAGAAUUUUAGGGACUAAGAUGAGCCUUAGUACCGCCUUCCACCCGAGACGGAUGGGUAAGCGGAGAGAACCAUUCAAACAUUGGGGGAUAUGCUCAUAUCUUGUGUAAUUGACUUUUGUGAUAGUUGGGUUGACCAUUUGCCUCUCAUAGGAUUUGCCUACAAUAAUAGUUAUCACUCUAGCAUUAGUAUGGUUUCAUUUGAUGCCUUGUAUUGUAGAGGUGUAGGUCUUGUAUUGGGUGGUUUAAAGUUGGUGAAGAUAGGUUAUUUGGUCUUGAUUUUGUUUACCAAGCCAUGGAGAAGGUGAAGGUGAUUUAGGAUAGGCUUAAGACCGCCCAAAGUAGCCAAAAGUCCUACGCGGAUGUGAGGCGAAGGGAGUUGGAGUUUAAUGUUAGUGACUAGGUGUUCAUAAAGGUGUCUCCCAUAAAGGGCAUGAUGCAGUUUGGGAAGAAGGGGAAGCUUAGUCCCCAUUAUGUUGGUCCAUUUUUGGUUUUGAUGAGGGUUGGCAAUAUUGCAUAUGAAUUAAAGUUUCCUUCUAGUUUGAGCACCAUUCAUUCGGCCUUCCAUGUUUCGAUGUUGAGGAAGUGUGUGGGUGAUCCUUCAUUGGUUAUUCCUUUUGGAAGGUGUAGGCAUUUCGAAUUUCUUGUUGUAUGGGGAAGAUUCAGUGGAGAUAUUAGGUCGGCAAGUCCAUUGGUUACGGACGAAGGAUGUGGCUUCAGUAAAGGUUCUUUGGAGGAACAAAAACUAUAAAGAAUCUACUUAGGAAGCCGAGGAGGACAUGAAGGCCAAGUAGCCAUUCCUAUUCCCUACUCCAGAAAAUCAUGCGUAAGGUAUGUGUGAUCUUAACAUGUUUGAUUCCUGUCUUUGUUAAAGGUAAGUGUGGGUGCAUUUCUAUGUUAAAUUAUGUUAAGGGAUACCUUGACCUAUUAUUCUAGGAUGAAUAAUCCUAAGGGGGGAGAAUGAAAUACACCAGGUGUCGAUCUCUAAGAAAUUUCUAAAAUUCAUCCUUCCUAUCCUAACUAUGACUUACCCUGGGAGUCAUAGGGAGUCAUAACGAGUUGUUGGACCCAUAUCAUAGUCCUACCAGUAUAUGUGGCUAAGUUUUCUACUCUGAGUAUCAGUGGCUCAUUACGGGUCAUUGUGUGCAAAUCAUAGGAUGUAUAGGGUUUACCCAAAUGGUUAUUAUGUUGAAUAAGAUUGGACCCUACGAGUCAUAGAGUCUAAUUAUGAGCCACGAUAUAUGAGUCGUAAGGUCAACAGUGUGUGCCUGGUGACAUUGUCUUGACGAAUCGCUAUGAGACCCGUAAUGACUGACAGUUUAUUUUCCAGCUUUUAAUAGGGGUAUUUUAGAUAUUUCCCUCUUAUCCCAAUAACCACGACCUAUAAACAUACUUGGGGCCCUAUUUUUAUUGAUAACACGCUCCAAACAUUCUCUCUUCUCUCUCAAGUCUCUUAAUCUAUACUUAGGGUUUCCAAAAAGAAGGUCAAGGACAGCUUCGGGGUUGAAUUCUCUCCAUAAUCUUGAAUAUUUCAGGCAUGUUACUCUUGUCUAAUUGCUGCUAUGUUAAAAGCAUAUGUUUUAACGUAUUAUUCAUAUGAUUUUAAUAUUGGUUUUGGAACAUGGGUUAAGCAUUUUGAAUAUUUGUGUUUGAAUAAUGUUUUCCCAUGGUUUACAUAUGAUUGUUCAUGCUUUAAUUAUGGUUUUGAACUUGUGGAGUGCAUGGGUAUGGUGAAUAAGCUAUGGGAUUAUGAUUUUCCUCAAUUUGUGAAUAUUGAUAAUUGAAGUGGUAAUGACCUCAACUCCUCUAUUGUGAAAUUGGAUUUGAAUAUGAAAAGUAUGCACAUUGAUCUACUCUUGAACUAUUGUGUAGGGUGGAAAUUUAAUGAAGCAUAAUGAUUUUGAAUUGAACCUUAUGGGUGGUGUAAUUCCCCAAGCUAAUAUAUAUAUUUGAACUAAAAAGAUUAUAAAUUUCCCUAAAUAUUGAUAAUUGGUUGGCAUCUUAAUGUUACAUUGCAAGUGUAGUUGGUAUGAUGAUACCAACAGUGUAUGCCUAAAUGUGUAUCAUGGUUCAAUAAAUGGAAAUGUGUGAUAAAUGAUUUAAUUGGGCUUUAAUGAGGAUUGUGUAGCUAAGUCGUGAAAGUGGAGGUCCUAAGGGACCAAUACUAGAAAUCACAAUUGUCGAUGUGAGGGUCUAAAUAACCGGGUGGUUCGAGUCCCCCUUAUUAUUAUUAUAUGAUCGGUAGGUUUGAAUCUCCCGUAUUAUAUCACAUGAUUGGGUGCUUAAGUCACCUUUGUAUGCCGGGAGGUUCGAGUUCCCCAUGGUGCAUAUGUAUAUUUUCGGGUUUGUGCGGCUAUAUAUACUGAGGCCCUUCCAGCCAGGGGUCUUCUCAUGGUAUAACGAUCGAGAUACACAAUCCAAGUUAAAGUUUGAAAGUGAAUGUUAAGCCUUGUUCCCUUUCUUGGCAUAUUAUUUAUAUAUGUAUUAUGAUGUGGUUCAUAUGGUAUUUAAAAUGAUCAGACUUGACAUUAUUUUGUCCCUUAUCCCAGAGUUUCAUGCUGAUGUUCACCCUAUUAAUCAUCUCCAGAUGUUUUAUCCCCAUGUGAUACAGGCACCAAAGAUACUUCUACUUUUCUUAUGUUGAGUUAGGUGGAUCGUCUUGGUUCAUUGGUUCAUUGGUGAAGUGGUGAAGGGGGUGGUCUCCGAUCCUUAUUGGACUUGAGAUACUCAUCACGGCCAGGCCCUGGUUUGGGUCGUGACAUAGUUUGACUGGUUUUUGGAAAUACCAUUAUUUUAUCCUUCUCCUCUAAGCUAUAUGCCAGUGCUCGCCCCAUUGACUGCCCUGGAUGCUGCAUCAUUUCAUUAUAUAGGGUUCAAGGGCUUUCCCGUGUAGCGUUGGGUGAUCUGGUACUCCUAUGGAUCUGAUGUGAAGUGAUUAUGAGAUGGAAAGAUGUAGAUUUGAGCUAAAAAGGAUCAAAAAUAAGAAAAAAAGUGCAGCUAGAAGACCUAAAGAAGAAACAAGCCUUAGUUACUGUGACAAGGUAUUUGGGCCGCGAUCGCGGCCAAUCAAGCAGGUCAAAGUACCGCGAUUGCGUGGUUCUAACCGCGGAAGUGGUAGCCGCGAUCGUGAACAAUUGUCAGCAAUUGCAGCAACACGGGAUUCUGCCCAGGGGUUGUUUUAUAAUUUACACAGACAUCCCUAAUUCCCUUAAGUGGUCCAAACCCUUUCUCAUUGGGAACAAUCCCUAAUUUUUGGGAACUCUCUUCUACCAUCUAGUUUCUAAUUUGAAGGGAACAUAUUUGUACUAAUUUUUGGGGUGAAGAAUACAUUAGAGUAACUUCUAAGAGGAAUAUUAGCAAACUCCAUUGAAUAUUUGUUGAGAUUUAAGGAUUGAAUUUGCAUUCUCUUUAUCUUUCAUGAAUCAAUUUGAUGGAGGUUUUUGUAUAUCUUUGUUUAUUAUUCUCAUAAGUUGCUAGUUUUUCCUCUUGGGGCUAUGUUUGAAUAGGGUGAAAGAGUGUGUGGGUUGUUAUCGUUAGCUUUAAAUUAUAGUUAAUGUUGUUAGGUUUCACAAAUAUUUGAUUUUAAAAUGGAAUUUAUUGAUAAAAUCUCUAAUUCUCUAAACCCCACAUUAUCCUUGAAAGAGGAAUGUGGGUAAUCAAGAUCCUAUAUUAUCCUUGAAAGAGGGAUGUAGGUGACAUAAGCAUUUGUGAACAAUACGAUAGAUAUUAGAGAUUUCCCUUUGUAUUGUCUUAGAAAUAAGGAUAGAUUGUGGAAUUGCUAUAUCUUGGGCUUCUUCCUAGAAAUAGGGAUGCCCAAUUUAUGUUUUGUAAUGAUUGGUUGACCACACCCACAAGGUAGUCGAAAGAUUCCGUGGGUGAUAGUUUGAUACUUUGUGGAAAGGCUAGUAUCAAAACCUCUAACCGAGCCUACCCACACGCAUUUUAGCUAAAAAUUGAAGUCGAUUAUCAUGUACCCACACACUAGUUGCCCCUAGUAAAUCUUACCCCAAGAUCCAUUCUUAUUGAUUAUGCUCUAAUUAUUCGUAGCCUCAAAUUAGUACUCUAGAGGCCCAAGUGCUAGUUACAUCCUUGAAAACAUGUAAAACCCCAUAAUUAUUUUGUAUUUUAGAUUUAAAUCUAGCAAGUGACUUUGAUUUCGAACCUACCCGAUUGCCACUCACAUUGUUCCUCGUGGAUUCAACCCUGAGUCAAAGUUGUGUAAUUUUAUUGACAACGACCAGUCAAAUAGGUCAAAGUACUACAAUCGGUUGGUUCUAACCACGAUCGCGGAUAAAUGUCAGCGAUUAUGGCAACACAGGAUUCUGCGCUGGGUUUGUUUUAAAAUUUCUAAAAGUCAUCCCAAAUUUUCUUUAGUGGCUCAAACCCUUUCUCAUUGGGAACAAUCCUUAAUUUUUAGAAACUCUCUUCCACCAUCUAGUUUCUAAUUUGAAGGGAACAUAUUUAUACUAAUUUUGGGAUGAAGAAUACAUUAGAAUAAGUUCUAAGAGGAGGAUUAGCAAACUCCAUUAAAGAUUUGUUGAGAUUUAAGGCUUGAAUUUGCAUUCUCUUUAUUUUUCAUGAAUUUAUUUGAUGGAGGUUUUUGUAUAUCUUUGUUUACUAUUCUCAUGAGUUGCUAGUUUUCCCUCUUAGGAUUAUGUUUGAAUAGGGUGAAAGAGUGUGUGGCUUGUGAUUGUUAGCUUUAACAUUUAGUUGAUGUUGUUGGGUUUCACAAAUGUCUGAUUUUAAAAUGGAAUUUGUUAGUGAAAGUCUCAAAUUCUCUAAACCCCACAUCAUCCUUGAAAGAGUGAUGUAGGUAAUUAGAUCCUACAUUAUCUUUGAAAGAGGGAUGUAGGUGACAUAAGCAUUUAUAAACAAUAAGAUAGAUAUUAGUGAUUUCCCUUUGUAUUGUCUUAGAAAUAAGGAUAUAUUGUGGAAUUGCUAUAUCUUGGGCAUCUUCUUAGAAAUAGGGAUGUCCAAUUAAUGUUUUGUAAUGAUUGGUUGAUCACACCCACGAGGCAGUCAAAAGAUUAUGUGGGUGAUAGUUUGAUACUUUGUUGAAAGGCUAGUAUCAAAAUCUCUAACCGAUCCUACCCACAUACACUUUAGCUAAAAUUUAAUGUUGAUUUUCUGUACCCAUACACUAGUUUCCCCUAGUAAAGCUUAGCCCCAUGAUCCAUUCUUAAUUGAUUACGCUUUAAUUAUUCGUAGCCUUUAAUUAGUGAUCUAAAGGCCCAAGUGCUAGUUACAUCCUAGAAAAUGUGUAAAACCCCCCAAUUAUUUUGUAUCUUAGGUUUAAAUCUAGCAAGCGACUUCCAUUUCAAACCUACCCGAUCUCCACUCAUAUUAUUCCUCAUGGAUUUGACCCCAACUCAAAGUUUGGUAAUUUUAUUGACAACGACCGUCUUGCACUUAAAUUGAUGUGUGAGUUGAGCGUUAUUAGAUGUGUAUAGACUAUCAUCAAUUGAAUAUGGUUAUAAUGAAGAAUAAGUACCCUUUUUCGAGGACUGGUGAUCUUUUUGGCCAACUUCAGGGUGUUAUGUGUUUCUCUAAGAUUAAUAUUCGUUUGGGCUACCAUUAGCUAAAAAUUAUGGAUGUUCAUAUUCCCAAGACUAUUUUUCAAACUCGAUGUGGCCAUUAUGAGUAUCUUUUUAUGUCAUUUAGGUUGACUAAUGCUCUGACUGCAUUCAAGGAUCUUAUGAAUCAAGUGUUUAAAUAGUUUUUGGAUUUGUUUGUUAUAGUCGUAAUUGAUGACAUCUUAGUGUACUCUAAGUAUGAGGAGGAUCAUGCAAAUCACCUCUGAAUUGUGUUACAGACUUAGAAGGACAAAAAAUUAUAUGCAAAGAUUUCUAACUAUGAAUUUUGGUUAAGUUUUGUGACCUUUCUUAGGCAUGUUAUUUCUAGUAAGGGGAUCAACGUGGAUCCGCAGAAAGUUCAGAUAGUUAAGAAGUGGCCUAGACCCAUGAAUCCAACCGACAUUAGGAGCUUCUUGGGCUUGGUUGGGUAUUAUAGGAGGUUUGUGGGGAGUUUUCUAUCUAUUACUGCCACACUGACGAAGUUAACUCAAAAAAAGGUCAAGUAUUUAUGGUCUGAUUCUUGUGAGGGUAGUUUUGAGAAGUUGAAGGAUAAGUUGACUUUUGCGCCAGUCUUUACCCUGCCCGAGGGUACUGAUUGGUUUGUCAUGUAUUGGGAUGUAUCUCAUGUGGGAAUGGGUUGGGUUUUGAAGCUGCAUGGUAAGGUUGUGGCCUAUUCUUCCAAAUAACUUAAAGUUCAAGAGAGGAAUGAUCCGACUCACGAUUUAGAGUUGGCGACUGUGGUUUUUACUUUGAUGAUCUGGCACCAUUAUCUGUAUGGGGUGCACGUGGAUAUUUAUUCAGACCAAAAAGAGCUUGCGGUAUGUAUUUACGUAAAAGGAAUUAAACCUCAGGCAAAUGAGGUAGUUGAGUUACUCUAGGAUUAUGACAUGAGCUUUCACUACUAUCCAGUUAAGAUAAUGUCAUUUUUGAUGCACUUAGCAGGUUGUCUAUGGGAAGAUUAUCUCAUGUAAAUGAAGAAAAAGAAGGUUAGUAAAGGAUAUUCAUAGGUUGGCCAACUUAGGAGUUCAUCUUUUUUACUCUAAGGAUGGGGGAGUAAUUGUUCAAGUAGUGGUUAAAUCAUAUCUUGGUGUUGAGGUAAAGGAGAAGCAGACUUUGGAUCCCAUACUUAUAUAGAUAAAGGAUGAUGUGGGUCAACAAUAGGUUAUGACAUUCAAGAUUUGGGGAGAUGAAAUUCAAAGGGAUCAAGAAAGGUUGCAUGUUUUUUAUGUUGACGGGCUAUAGGAAAGUAUUGACUGAGGCUCAUGAGUCCAGAUAUACAGUUCAUCCGAGUUCGACUAAGAUGAACCAUGACUUGGAGAAAAUCUACUGGUGGAAUAAUAUGAAGAGAGAUAUGGAAAACUUUUUGGUUAAAUGUAUGAUUUGUCAUCAAGUCAAGGUUGAACAUUUGAGGCCUAGCGGCAUGUCUCAAGAGAUAAAGUGCCCAUGUGGAAGUGGGAGAUAAUCAAUAUGGACUUUUUCACCAGUCUUCCACGGUCUCUCAAUUAGUAUGAUUCUAUUUGGGUCAUUGUGGAUAGAAUAACUAAGUCUUCUCACUUCUUGUCUGUGAGGACUAACUACUCAGGAGAGGAUUAUGCAAAGUUGUUCGUUCAGGAGAUAGUAAAGUUAGAUGGAGCAUUAGAGUCCAUUAUUUUUUACCGAGGUACGCAGUUUUCCUCUUACUUCUAGCGUUUGUUUGAGAAAGGUUUGGGUACUCAGGUGAACCUUAGCACCACUUUUCACCCUCAAACUGAUGGACAAACGGAACGGACUAUUUAGACUUUAGAAGAUAUGCUAAGUGCCUGUAUGAUUGAUUUUAA